rnacentral:rRNA from 1 species
AGUGGCGGACGGGUGAGUAACGCGUGAGAAUCUGCCUUGGGGUCGGGGACAACCACUGGAAACGGUGGCUAAUACCGGAUAAGCCGAUUGGUGAAAGAUUUAUUGCCCGAAGAGGAGCUCGCGUCUGAUUAGCUAGUUGGUGAGGUAAGAGCUCACCAAGGCAGCGAUCAGUAGCUGGUCUGAGAGGACGAUCAGCCACACUGGGAUGGAGACACGGCCCAGACUCCUACGGGAGGCAGCAGUGGGGAAUUUUCCGCAAUGGGCGAAAGCCUGACGGAGCAAGACCGCGUGAGGGAGGAAGGCUCUUGGGUUGUAAACCUCUUUUCUCAGGGAAGAAGCUCUGACGGUACCUGAGGAAUCAGCCUCGGCUAACUCCGUGCCAGCAGCCGCGGUAAUACGGAGGAGGCAAGCGUUAUCCGGAAUUAUUGGGCGUAAAGCGUCCGCAGGUGGCGAUUCAAGUCUGCUGUCAAAGCACGGGGCUUAACUCCGUAAAGGCAGUGGAAACUGAAUAGCUAGAGUGCCGUAGGGGUAGAGGGAAUUCCCGGUGUAGCGGUGAAAUGCGUAGAGAUCGGGAAGAACAUCGGUGGCGAAAGCGCUCUACUGGACGGCAACUGACACUCAGGGACGAAAGCUAGGGGAGCGAAUGGGAUUAGAUACCCC